CUGGCUCAGAACGAACGCUGGCGGCAGGCUUAACACAUGCAAGUCGAGCGCCCCGCAAGGGGAGCGGCAGACGGGUGAGUAACGCGUGGGAAUCUACCCUUGACUACGGAAUAACGCAGGGAAACUUGUGCUAAUACCGUAUGUGUCCUUCGGGAGAAAGAUUUAUCGGUCAAGGAUGAGCCCGCGUUGGAUUAGCUAGUUGGUGGGGUAAAGGCCUACCAAGGCGACGAUCCAUAGCUGGUCUGAGAGGAUGAUCAGCCACAUUGGGACUGAGACACGGCCCAAACUCCUACGGGAGGCAGCAGUGGGGAAUAUUGGACAAUGGGCGCAAGCCUGAUCCAGCCAUGCCGCGUGAGUGAUGAAGGCCCUAGGGUUGUAAAGCUCUUUUCACCGGAGAAGAUAAUGACGG
rnacentral:rRNA from 1 species